UCCUUAGGAUAUGAUGCUGGAG
rnacentral:piRNA from 1 species